GAGUUUGAUCAUGGCUCAGAUUGAACGCUGGCGGCAUGCCUUACACAUAGCAAGUCGAACGGCAGCAUGAUCUAGCUUGCUAGAUUGAUGGUCGAAGUGGCGAACGGGUGAGUAAUACAUCGGAACGUGCCUGUAGUGGGGAUAACUAGUCGAAAGAUUAGCUAAUACCGCAUACGACCUGAGGGUGAAAGUGGGGACCGCAAGGCCUCAUGCUAUAGGAGCGGCCGAUGUCUGAUUAGCUAGUUGGUGGGGUAAAGGCCCACCAAGGCGACGAUCAGUAGCUGGUCUGAGAGGACGAUCAGCCACACUGGGACUGAGACACGGCCCAGACUCCUACGGGAAGCAGCAGUGGGGAAUUUUGGACAAUGGGCGAAAGCCUGAUCCAGCAAUGCCGCGUGUGUGAAGAAGGCCUGG
rnacentral:rRNA from 1 species